GGAUUAUUAGGCCCCGGCUGGCACUCAACGAGCUCUUUAAAUCUGGAGAAGUCCCACUGUUCAGAGACCUGUCAGUACAUUCUCAUCACGCUAGCGGCUUUGCGUAUCAAAGAAGAAACUCUCCAUGUGAGGCGAGUUAGAUGUCCUCAAUAAGCUAAUGCUGAUGAUCACAGAACUGGGAUUAAGCCACCGAAGAGCUGAUGGGAAGGUGGAUGCAGGACAGGGUGAAACUGCUGCUAAACCCUGACUGAUGAUGAGGAGAAGAGCAGGAGCAUACGAGGGAGGAUACCCACCAUCAAACAAGACGCCGAAACCUGCCAUGAUAAUGAAACCUGAGCGCAUAAUGGACCAUUGAAAGAGCCAAUCUGUAUGACAGCAGAAGACGCCUCAGCAGAGAGAUUAGCAUUUCUUUGAUGGAUGGCCUGUGUUCUUCUGUGCUCCAGCCUCGGGCGCUCACAUUAGGACGGAGUGUGAGUUGAUGAACUGUGGAUGAAUAUGAAUAUGAAUAUGCAUGCGCAGUCAGGAUGCCAAGCGUUGACGAGAGCAGAUAUUCCUCUUGAAGUUCCCUGAAGUUCUGCUAGCUGAUCAAUCAUCACGCUAUCAUCGGAGGAGGAAUAACCCACAGAGCUGGAAGAGCUACAGCCUCGCAUGUUCUCCACAUCUGAAAAUUCCCAUUCUGCAGACGAGGAAUAACCAUCACUGUUGCUGGAGGAGGUGCUCAACUCUUUGGGCAGCAGAUCAAGCUCUGGAUCAGAGGAUCCACUGACUGCAAGAGAAGAAGUCGCAUCAGUGUGUGUGUCGAUGCUGGA